rnacentral:miRNA from 2 species
GGCUGGUCCGAAGGCGGU